AACUUCUGUUUGUGCCAUCUGUGAACUCACUGCUUCCAAGUUUAAAGUGUUAAAGAGGCUAUGUGCUAAGUUUCUUAGACAAUAUCAACAUAUCUUAGCUAAAGGAAGUCUGAAGCUUCCAUACAGGAACUGCAGUGUGUGAACAAACAGCAACUAAUCCGUGAUAUACGUAGUAUUUGUGUGGAACAGAAAGCUGUACUUCAGAGCAUGCGAUGGCUCAGCAGUAGUGUAAACAAAUCAAACCAAGGUAUAGAUGGAGGCCAGCUCAGGUACACCUCUGGUUAUUGUCAGAGCUGAACAGCCUGUUUUCCAUUAGCCUUGAUGCACCCCAACAAAAACAGGAUAUUUACAUGUUCAGUUGAAGUUUUUUUUUUACAUCAACAAAGAUUUUCCAGCUUUUACAAUGUGCCUUUGUUCAGUGAAUGUCUCAUACAAGGUAGAAUAAUGCAUUCAUCCAUGAAGUCAAUGUGGCCCUGGCUGGCUCUGAGCAUCCCUUCAGCAGUCUGCUUCUCCACGCUGGGAGCCUGUCACUGAGGUUUAGUGUCAAACUGCACGGCCCUGCUGAGUCAAGCUGACCAUGAACAAGGCAGACCAGCCACACUGGCCUGAUGUGCAGGCUUAUGUUAGGUGUCUGGAUGUUCCCAUUCAGGAUAGAUGCUAGGGAAGUGUUGCCAGUUUUAGCCUGUUUGAGAACUUGUUACUCAAAUUGAGGGUAAUGUGGUAUCACCUGGAAUCUUGUAGGAAUCCUCCAAAGAAUUAAAGUAUAUCCAAAUAACAACAGUUUAAAUCUCUAAUGGGAUUUUUGUGUAUUUUGCAUUCACAUUAUGUUGCUUCUUAGCAAUCAACUCAAUUUAAAGGGUCGGCCAGGAAACUGAAUAAAAAGAGAGCUGGAUAAACAAA